CAGCCCUCCCUGAGCUCAUUUAAGGGCUAGCCUCCAAAGUAACAGCGUCUUGAGGAUGAAGGCUGCUUCUUGAGAAAGAGCGUUAUAUGCCUGAAUUCCUGUCGCCAGAUUGUCCUGACUGUCCCUGCCACCUGCCUGGAGAUCGCACUCCUUCUCUGUGGCCCAGGAUGCCAUUUCUGCCCCUAGGACCAUCAAUACCCUGCCACAGCUGAAGCUGAGCAAGGUUUAAGACAAAGUAUAAAGGGAUUGAUUGAGAACCUGGAGAAUGUGCAAGAGGGAGGACAAUAUCAGCAUGGCAAAGGAUGGAGAUUUGGCCUUUGAACUGAAGGGGCAGAAAAUAUAUAAAAUACUAGCAGAAAACUGCUUCUGGUUAAGUAUAUGAACUACCCACACAAGAAAUCCAAAGAUCCGUUUUAUCUCAGGCCAUGUUGACUAGCAAAUGAUUAUGCAACUAUGAUUGUCUGAGAGAGGUCUAUACAUGGAGCAGCAAUGUUGUCUUGAAGAGAGUACUGUUCAUCUCAUCUUCUAUUAUCGUGACAAAAUGGAAUAUUAUUUCCCUUGCAUUUGUGAUGUCUUUGUUCAACGCAGUUUUGUCUCUACUGUUUAUCUGAAGCUUCACCUAAAAUUAGAUUUGGUAUGUAGUGCAGCAGUUAGGCUCUGUAUCAGUAUAAUGCACUGGUCUGUGGUUUCUUUUGUGCGAUGUUUCUGGGAACUUAGGGGGGAAAAAAUCUUGUUCUGAAUUGAGUAUGUUUAUAUGUGGAGAUUACAUAUUUAUAAUUAUUUAUUUGACUCUGCAUCAUUAAUGGCAGAAACUUAAAGAGUGAGUACUAUUGGAAUGACUUCUAUUAUCCAUAAGUAGGAUACACAUCUUUUCUUUGAUGCUCUUGAUUUUUUGGGGAUAUUCCUUUCAGUCUGCCAAACUCCUAGCGCUGUGAUUGUGCCUGCUGUCAUUUGUUUCUUCAAUAAAAACAUCAAAAUUCAGAGAAGGAUUCUCUGAUGUCUUCAGUAUCGCU